UGGGAACCUUCCCUAUGGUUCGGAAUAGCCCAGGGAAACUUGGGGUAAUACCGAAUAAGCCCUUCGGGGGAAAGAUUUAUCGCCAUUGGAUGGGCCCGCGUCGGAUUAGCUAGUUGGUAGGGUAAAGGCCUACCAAGGCGACGAUCGUUAGCUGGUCUGAGAGGAUGAUCAGCCACACUGGGACUGAGACACGGCCCAGACUCCUACGGGAGGCAG
rnacentral:rRNA from 1 species